rnacentral:rRNA from 1 species
GUCAAGUCAGCAUGACCCUUAUGUCCUGGGCGACACACACGCUACAAUGGCCGGUACAAAGGGCAGCCAAGCGGUAACGCGGAGCCAAUCCCUAAAAGCCGGUCUCAGUUCGGAUUGGGGUCUGCAACUCGACCCCAUGAAGUCGGAGUCGCUAGUAAUCGCAGAUCAGCAAUGCUGCGGUGAAUACGUUCCCGGGCCUU